UACAGAGGUCCCAAGCGUUGUUCGGAUUCACUGGGCGUAAAGGGUGCGUAGGUGGCGCUGUAAGUCGGGUGUGAAAUUUCGGAGCUUAACUCCGAAACUGCAUUCGAUACUGCGGUGCUUGAGGACUGGAGAGGAGACUGGAAUUCAUGGUGUAGCAGUGAAAUGCGUAGAGAUCAUGAGGAAGACCAGUGGCGAAGGCGGGUCUCUGGGCCUUACCUGACGCUGAGGCGCGAAAGCUAGGGGAGCGAACAGG
rnacentral:rRNA from 1 species